UCCCGGUUAACCCGGGCAGUCUCAUUAGAGUUCCCACCUUCACGUGUUGGCAACUAAUGAUAAGGGUUGCGCUCGUUGCGGGACUUAACCCAACACCUCACGGCACGAGCUGACGACAGCCAUGCAGCACCUGUGCAGCGGCCCCGAAGGGCUAUAACAUUUCUGCUAUAUUCCACUGCAUGUCAAGCCUGGGUAAGGUUCUUCGCGUUGCAUCGAAUUAAACCACAUGCUCCACUGCUUGUGCGGGUCCCCGUCAAUUCUUUUGAGUUUCAGCCUUGCGACUGUACUCCCCAGGCGGUAUACUUAACGCGUUAGCUCCGGCACAGCUGGGGUUGAGUCCAGCUACACCAAGUAUACAUAGUUUACGGCAAGGACUAC
rnacentral:misc_RNA from 1 species